rnacentral:lncRNA from 1 species
AUGUGUCUUUGUGCUGCUGGUGGAUCCUUUCUCGCUGCUACCGUCUCUCGUUUCUAUCUCUUUGCCCAUCUAAUCUUUCCUUCACUCUCUUUCUUUUUUUCCCCUCUCAGGCACACACACACACACACACACACACACUCGAUUUCUUUUUGUCUCCCCAGGUGUGCACUGGUCCAGGUGUAUGUCUUCGCGGGAGCUCAUCACUGCUCUAAUGAGAAUGAUCACCGCUCAUCUGUCUUCAUCCACAUCCAACAGAGAGCACCUGCUACUAUCUGUACCCAAGGGCAGCGCAUGGUCUCGCCGGCUGAGCUAAUACCGAGAAAAAGGAGAGAAUUCCAGGAGGAAAAAGUUCUGGGAGUUGCUGGCACCUCAUCAAGCCACACACACUCCUCGUUCUCUGAUGAGCGUUGAUGCCUGUUCGGCCUCUAAUGUGCCCGAGGUGAAAAAUGAGGUUGACGUAGACAUGGUUAACCAUAAUGCCAAGGCGGAUGCCACCCGAUAGCAGCCAGACACCUGAGAAAGCAGGCCUGGGUCCAGCUCACCACUCACCCCCCUCUCCACUUAUAUUAUUCAUCCCUCUUUGAAAUGCCUUUUAUGCUGCUCAAUUACCCCUCCAGCGGCCCAGUGUGGACACUGUAAUGACAUUCUGAUUAUCAGUCUGUAAAUGAGAAAUGAAAUGAGUGUGUGAUGCCGUGCCAGGGGAAGAAUGGAGCGGCUAGAAGCCUUUCAAAAAUGGGAGCCGUGGAGGAGGCGGAGGA